rnacentral:rRNA from 1 species
UACGUAGGGUGCAAGCGUUGUCCGGAUUUAUUGGGCGUAAAGAGCUCGUAGGCGGUUUGUCGCGUCGGAUGUGAAAACCCAGGGCUCAACCCUGGGCCUGCAUUCGAUACGGGCAGACUAGAGUAUGGCAGGGGAGACUGGAAUUCCUGGUGUAGCGGUGAAAUGCGCAGAUAUCAGGAGGAACACCGGUGGCGAAAGGCGGGGUCUCUGGGGCCAAAAACUGACGCUGGAGGAGCGAAAGCGUGGGGAGCGAACAGG